GAACUACUCCCUCUGAUCCAUAUUAUUUAUCGCUCAAACGGAUGUAUCUAGACAUAUUUUAGUGCUAGAUGCAUCCGUUUAAGAGACAAGUAAUAUGGAUCGGAAGGAGUAUCUA
rfam:Triticum aestivum genome assembly, contig: Triticum_aestivum_CS42_TGACv1_scaffold_625277_7DS